UAAUUGUUUGAAAACAUCACUUUGUACAAAAUACAUAUGCACACAAAAAGGACUCCCUAGGAGUACCUAGGACAUUUUGGGUGCUAACACCUUCCCUCUGUGUAACCAACCCCCUUACCUGUGAUCUCUGACUUUUAUUAGUUUUUAUUUGAAAACUUCUUACUUAUUGGGUUUUGUUCGUACUUUUUCCCUUUUCCCUUGGUACCUUCCCUCUGUGUAACCAACCCCCUUACCUGUGAUCUCUGACUUUUAUUAGUUUUUAUUUGAAAACUUCUUACUUAUUGGGUUUUGUUCGUACUUUUU
rnacentral:lncRNA from 1 species